rnacentral:rRNA from 1 species
UACAGAGGGGGCAAGCGUUAUUCGGAAUUACUGGGCGUAAAGGGCCAGUAGGCGGCCAACUAAGUCGGAUGUGAAAUCCCCAGGCUUAACCUGGGAACUGCAUCCGAUACUGGAUGGCUUGAAUUCGGGAGAGGGAUGCAGAAUUCCAGGUGUAGCGGUGAAAUGCGUAGAUAUCUGGAGGAAUACCGGUGGCGAAGGCGGCAUCCUGGACCGACAUUGACGCUGAACGGCGAAAGCUAGGGGAGCAAACGGG